UACGUAGGGGGGCAAGCGUUGUCCGGAAUCAUUGGGCGUAAAGAGCGUGUAGGCGGCCCGGUAAGUCCGUUGUGAAAGUCGAGGGCUCAACCCUCGAAUGCCGGCGGAUACUGUCGGGCUAGAAUCCGGAAGAGGCGAGUGGAAUUCCUGGUGUAGCGGUGAAAUGCGCAGAUAUCAGGAGGAACACCAAUGGCGAAGGCAGCUCGCUGGGACGGUAUUGACGCUGAGACGCGAAAGCGUGGGGGAGCAAACAGG
rnacentral:rRNA from 1 species